rnacentral:rRNA from 1 species
UACGGGGGGAGCAAGCGUUGUUCGGAUUUACUGGGCGUAAAGGGCGCGUAGGCGGCCUCCGCAAGUCAGUUGUGAAAUCUCCGAGCUUAACUCGGAAAGGUCAACUGAUACUGCGGGGCUAGAGUGCGGAAGGGGCAACUGGAAUUCUUGGUGUAGCGGUGAAAUGCGUAGAUAUCGAGAGGAACACCGGUGGCGAAGGCGAGUCCCUGGACAAUUCCUGACACUGAGGCACGAAAGCUAGGGGAGCAAACAGG